rnacentral:tRNA from 1 species
GCCCCCGUAGCUCAGGGGAUAGAGCAGGGGUUUCCUAAACCCUGUGCGGGAGUUCGAGUCUCUCCGGGGGCACCA